rnacentral:rRNA from 1 species
UACGUAGGGGGCGAGCGUUGUCCGGAUUUAUUGGGCGUAAAGCGUGCGUAGGCGGCUGCGCAAGUCGGGUGUGAAACCCCGGGGCUCAACCCCGGAACUGCAUCCGAUACUGCGUGGCUAGAGGUAGGUAGGGGAGAUCGGAAUUCCUGGUGUAGCGGUGAAAUGCGCAGAUAUCAGGAGGAACACCGGUGGCGAAGGCGGAUCUCUGGGCCUUACCUGACGCUGAGGCGCGAAGGUCAGGGGAGCAAACGGG